rnacentral:rRNA from 1 species
UACGGAGGGGGCUAGCGUUGUUCGGAAUUACUGGGCGUAAAGCGCACGUAGGCGGCUUUGUAAGUAAGAGGUGAAAGCCCAGAGCUCAACUCUGGAAUUGCCUUUUAGACUGCAUCGCUUGAAUCCAGGAGAGGUGAGUGGAAUUCCGAGUGUAGAGGUGAAAUUCGUAGAUAUUCGGAAGAACACCAGUGGCGAAGGCGGCUCACUGGACUGGUAUUGACGCUGAGGUGCGAAAGCGUGGGGAGCAAACAGG